AGAGUUUGAUCCUGGCUCAGGAUGAACGCUAGCGGCAGGCUUAACACAUGCAAGUCGAGGGGCAGCACGUCUUCGGAUGGUUGGCGGCGACCGGCGCACGGGNNNNNNNNNNNNNNNNNNNNNNNNNNNNNNNNNNNNNNAUAGACCAGAGUAACCUGGAUAAAUGCCCAAUAGUAUUAUCGAAAGGCAUUAUUUGAUAAUUAAAGCUCCGGCGGUUAGAGAUGGGCAUGCGUGACAUUAGCUAGUUGGUAAGGUAACGGCUUACCAAGGCUACGAUGUCUAGGGGUUCUGAGAGGAUGAUCCCCCACACUGGUACUGAGACACGGACCAGACUCCUACGGGAGGCAGCAGUGAGGAAUAUUGGUCAAUGGGCGCAAGCCUGAACCAGCCAUCCCGCGUGAAUGAUGAAGGUCCUAUGGGUUGUAAACUUCUUUUGUACGGGAAUAAAAAUCCGAACGUGUGGGUGCCCGACGGUAGUGUAUGAAUAAGCACCGGCUAACUCCGUGCCAGCAGCCGCGGUAAUACGGAGGGUGCAAGCGUUAUCCGGAAUCAUUGGGUUUAAAGGGUCCGUAGGCGGAUUAAUAAGUCAGAGGUGAAAUCCCACAGCUUAACUGUGGAACUGCCUUUGAUACUGUUAGUCUUGAGUUAUAUGGAAGUAGAUAGAAUGUGUAGUGUAGCGGUGAAAUGCAUAGAUAUUACACAGAAUACCGAUUGCGAAGGCAGCUUACUAAGCCAAUACUGACGCUGAUGCACGAAAGCGUGGGGAUCGAACAGGAUUAGAUACCCUGGUAGUCCACGCCGUAAACGAUGAUCACUCGCUGUUUGCGAUAUACAGCAAGCGGCUGAGCGAAAGCAUUAAGUGAUCCACCUGGGGAGUACGAUCGCAAGGUUGAAACUCAAAGGAAUUGACGGGGGCCCGCACAAGCGGAGGAACAUGUGGUUUAAUUCGAUGAUACGCGAGGAACCUUACCUGGGCUUAAAUGUAGGCUGCAUUCGGCUGAAAGGUAUAAGCCAGCAAUGGCCGUAUACGAGGUGCUGCAUGGUUGUCGUCAGCUCGUGCCGUGAGGUGUUAGGUUAAGUCCUGCAACGAGCGCAACCCUUACCUUUAGUUGCCAGCGGGUCAAGCCUGGCACUCUAAGGGUACUGCCGGUGUUAAACCGGAGGAAGGUGGGGAUGACGUCAAAUCAGCACGGCCCUUAUGUCCAGGGCUACACACGUGUUACAAUGGCCGAUACAAAGGGCAGCUACCAGGUGACUGGAUGCUAAUCUCCAAAGUCGGUCUCAGUUCGGAUCGAAGUCUGCAACCCGACUUCGUGAAGCUGGAUUCGCUAGUAAUCGCAUAUCAGCCAUGAUGCGGUGAAUACGUUCCCGGGCCUUGUACACACCGCCCGUCAAGCCAUGGAAGCUGGGGGUGCCUGAAGUUCGUGACCGCAAGGAGCGACCUAGGGCAAAACUGGUAACUGGGGCUAAGUCGUAACAAGGUAACC
rnacentral:rRNA from 1 species